CUUAUGUUCUUCUGUAAAACUAUAACAUAAUAUAGACACCAGAAAACCCAGUUUCCAGUGCUGCAGUUUUUGAANGGAGCUUUCCCUAUGCAACUUUUGAAGUGCUCUGCAGGACAAGAGCUUUGAGAGCUACCAGCCUGGGUAGUCACAUAAGGGAUCUAUUGUUCUGGAGAAAGGUGGGGCCUGUUGAAGCAGGGCCCAGGGUGUGUCUGUAGUUCAGCAGAAAGCCAAGUCACCAUCCGGAAAGCCGAGGGGCACAGAUUCAUUCUCCAGCUCCUUCCCGGAAGGAGGUAACGGCAAAGCACUUAUGCAGCUUCCAAGAAACCACAUGGAUUCAUGUUGUCACUAGGAGCUGGUUGCUAACAACAAGUGACGUUUCAGAAGCAGACUGCGCCCCCUGGCGUGAGAACAGCUCUCCACCACGAACAGAGCGCUCAUUUCUGAAGGACUCGAAGAUCUCAGCAUCACAUGGGAAAANAGAAUGGAUGCCCUUAACGUUCGAAGAUGUCCAGAAAAUACAAUCGCUAGGGGUGUGCAGGUCAUUAUUAUGAAAGAAAACCAUGAUUUGUGCUUUAGAAGGCUGGCAGGGGCUAAGGAAAGGUUCCCAAACAAUGACCGCCAUGUGAUGAGAUCAUUGUUAAUUAUGAUAUGGCAUCACUCAGCUCUUACAGCUCUGAGAAGGUUCGGAGGAAAAUCACAGGAGCAGAUAAUCUAAGGUAAGUCUUGUCUGGCCUGUGGAGGAGUAAUGCCCACAAAUAGAGGGGCAAAUCCAUUUCAAAUGCUUUUCGAAAUUUGCAGAACAGCGUUUUGCACACCCCUAAUACAGAUAGGCUGAAAGCUCAAGAUGCCUAAACUGCACACCUUUUGCACAAGGCUCCAAGGCUCCCUUCUUUUAAAAACUUUUGAAAGGAAGGAAGGAAGGAAGGAUGAAUGGAUUGGUUAAACAAUCAACUUAACCAUGCAGAAUUUAUUGACAUCUGUAGCAGGGAAGGAAAUAAUUGUCCCUAUUCAGCUGCAGAUGUAUUUCAGCCUCAUUUGUUUAGGUCUGACGAGAAGCAACGGUUGCUAUUCCCAUCCUAAUUAGCUCAGCAAUACCAAGACAAUCACUUUAUCAUCUGUCACUGCUGCUAGAGACGUGUCAAGCUGGUUUGGCGUGCUUGAGAAGCUUGGGUUUGAACUGAACAACCUGCCCGCUGUUCAAAAAACGGAGUUUGAGUUCAAACCAAGCAAAGGGGUGCUCUAAUGAAGCUAGUGAACACACCCUCUUUGAUCCAAGGCUUAAAGGUGUUCAGUAGGGAUGUGCAAAUUUCCAAAAUUUUAGUCUGAUAUUCUGCCUCUAGGGUUUCUUCCAGAGGUUCUUAGAUGGGUAAAUCAAUAGUCAAUGAUGGAGCUGACAGGACACCACAUGGGACCUAGGCUUCUUGUUAGGUUGCAUCUACACCAUAGAGGAAGAGCACUCCUAGAGUGCCCCUGGGUCAUCUGGGAAACCAUUCCUGCCCCCCUUGGGAGAUAUCAUCAUUACUGCCACAGCUGCUGUGUGGAGUGACAGCAGUGGUGGUGGUGACUUGUUGGGGGCAAUUCCCACCUGCUACGAUUUAGUGUCAGACUGUGGCCUCC
ensembl:lncRNA